rnacentral:rRNA from 1 species
UACGAAGGGGGCUAGCGUUGCUCGGAAUCACUGGGCGUAAAGCGCACGUAGGCGGGUCGUUAAGUCGGGGGUGAAAUCCUGGAGCUCAACUCCAGAACUGCCUUCGAUACUGGCGAUCUUGAGUCUGGGAGAGGUGAGUGGAACUCCGAGUGUAGAGGUAAAAUUCGUAGAUAUUCGGAAGAACACCAGUGGCGAAGGCGGCUCACUGGCCCGGUACUGACGCUGAGGUGCGAAAGCGUGGGGAGCAAACAGG